GGUUGUCUCGGACCUCCCCUCACCUGGUUGUCUAGGACCUCCUCCUCGUUGUCUCGGACCUCCCCUCACCUGGUUGCAGGAAGGAGUUUUUGUAAGUCGCUCUGGAUAAGAGCGUCUGCUAAAUGUAAAUGUGUCGCGUUUUAUUCCCUCCUCCCCCACUGAUUCAGUAGCAGGAAGGAGUUUUGAGGUGUUACGAUAUCAUAGAGCCUUUUAGCGUCACAGAAUACCAGUUUACUGAUAGCAUUAAUACAACGUUUGUUAGUUUGUACAUAUACCAGUAACAGGAUCCAUAUUUACUUGUUUCUCCAUCAUGUCUUUUACGUUUGUAGGAGAGGUUGUUGUUUUAACUCUAUUUUUUUGUCAGAUGAUCUGUCUGUGUGUAAGAUUUAUUGUUAAUAAUUGUAAAGGAUCAAAAUAAAUGGAGUUUGUAGA